AUUGAACGCUAGCGGGAUGCUUUACACAUGCAAGUCGAACGGCAGCGCGGACUUCGGUCUGGCGGCGAGUGGCGAACGGGUGAGUAAUGUAUCGGAACGUGCCCAGUAGCGGGGGAUAACUACGCGAAAGCGUAGCUAAUACCGCAUACGCCCUACGGGGGAAAGCAGGGGAUCGUAAGACCUUGCACUAUUGGAGCGGCCGAUAUCGGAUUAGCUAGUUGGUGAGGUAACGGCUCACCAAGGCGUCGAUCCGUAGCUGGUUUGAGAGGACGACCAGCCACACUGGGACUGAGACACGGCCCAGACUCCUACGGGAGGCAGCAGUGGGGAAUUUUGGACAAUGGGGGCAACCCUGAUCCAGCCAUCCCGCGUGUGCGAUGAAGGCCUUCGGGUUGUAAAGCACUUUUGGCAGGAAAGAAACGUCGCGGGCUAAUACCCCGUGGAACUGACGGUACCUGCAGAAUAAGCACCGGCUAACUACGUG
rnacentral:rRNA from 1 species